rnacentral:rRNA from 1 species
CCUACGGGAGGCAGCAGUGAGGAAUAUUGGUCAAUGGACGAGAGUCUGAACCAGCCACGUCGCGUGCAGGAUGACUGCCCUAUGGGUUGUAAACUUCUUUUAUAUGGGAAUAAAAUGUUCCACGUGUGGGAUUUUGUAUGUACCAUAUGAAUACGGAUCGGCUAACUCCGUGCCAGCAGCCGCGGUAAUACGGAGGAUCCGAGCGUUAUCCGGAUUUAUUGGGUUUAAAGGGAGCGUAGGUGGAUUGUUAAGUCAGUGGUGAAAGUUUGCGGCUCAACCGGAAAAUUGCAGUUGAAACUGGCAGUCUGGAGUACAGUAGAGGUGGGCGGAAUUCGUGGUGUAGCGGUGAAAUGCUUAGAUAUCACGAAGAACUCCGAUUGCGAAGGCAGUUCACUGGACUGCAACUGACACUGAGGCUCGAAAGUGUGGGUAGCAAACAGGAUUAGAUACCCGGGUAGUC